GACGAACGCUGGCGGCGUGCUUAACACAUGCAAGUCGAACGGAAAGGCCCUGCUUGCGGGGUACUCGAGUGGCGAACGGGUGAGUAACACGUGGGUGAUCUGCCCUGCACUUCGGGAUAAGCCUGGGGAACUGGGUCUAAUACCGGAUAGAAGCCAUUUUUAGGGUGAUGGUUGGAAAGUUUUUUCGGUGUAGGAUGAGCUCGCGGCCUAUCAGCUUGUUGGUGGGGUAAUGGCCUACCAAGGCGGCGAAGGGUAGCCGGCCUGGGGGGGUGGACGGCCACAUUGGGGCUGAGGUUCGGCCCAGACUCCUACGGGGGGGAGCAGGGGGGAAUAUUGGCAAAUGGGGGGAAGGCUGAUGCAGCGAAGCCGGGGGGGGGGAGACGGCCUUCGGGUUGGAAACUCCUUUCGCUAGGGACGAAGCUUUUUGUGACGGUACCUAGAAAAGAAGCACCGGCUAACUACGUG
rnacentral:rRNA from 1 species